rnacentral:tRNA from 1 species
AGAAAAGUUGGUCGUGAGUGGAUUUCUAAUCUGUUUCAUAAGCAGUUCAAUUCUGUUUUUUUCUC